GGCUCAGGACGAACGCUGGCGGCGUGCUUAACACAUGCAAGUCGAACGAUGAAGCCCUUCGGGGUGGAUUAGUGGCGAACGGGUGAGUAACACGUGGGCAAUCUGCCCUUCACUCUGGGACAAGCCCUGGAAACGGGGUCUAAUACCGGAUAACACUCUGUCCCGCAUGGGACGGGGUUGAAAGCUCCGGCGGUGAAGGAUGAGCCCGCGGCCUAUCAGCUUGUUGGUGGGGUGAUGGCCUACCAAGGCGACGACGGGUAGCCGGCCUGAGAGGGCGACCGGCCACACUGGGACUGAGACACGGCCCAGACUCCUACGGGAGGCAGCAGUGGGGAAUAUUGCACAAUGGGCGAAAGCCUGAUGCAGCGACGCCGCGUGAGGGAUGACGGCCUUCGGGUUGUAAACCUCUUUCAGCAGGGAAGAAGCGAAAGUGACGGUACCUGCAGAAGAAGCGCCGGCUAACUACGUGCCAGCAGCCGCGGUAAUACGUAGGGCGCAAGCGUUGUCCGGAAUUAUUGGGCGUAAAGAGCUCGUAGGCGGCUUGUCACGUCGGAUGUGAAAGCCCGGGGCUUAACCCCGGGUCUGCAUUCGAUACGGGCUAGCUAGAGUGUGGUA
rnacentral:rRNA from 1 species